rnacentral:rRNA from 1 species
GAUACCCUACUAUACCAGGAAGUAAAAUUAAAACCGGAUUAUUAAUAGAUAUAUUCUUUAAAUUUAAAGAAUUUGGCGGUGACUUAGUCUUGUCAGAGGAACCUGUUUUUGAAUCGAUACACCACGUGGGAUCUUACUUGCUUUUGUUUUCAGCUUAUAUACCGUCAUUAGCAGAUAAUUUUAAAAGAAUUAAUUAUUGGGGUUUAAUAAUUUAAUAGAAAUUAGAUCAAGGUGUAGCUUAUGGGCAAGUUAAAAUGGGUUACAAUAAGUUGUAUUUAUAACGGAGCAGCUAAGGAAGAAAAUUAGCUAAGAAGGAGGAUUUGAUUGUAAUUUAAGUUUAAUAUGCUUAAAAGAUAUAAGCUCUAAGUCAUGUACAU